rnacentral:rRNA from 1 species
GAUCAUGGCUCAGGAUGAACGCUAGCUACAGGCUUAACACAUGCAAGUCGAGGGGAAACGACAUCGAAAGCUUGCUUUUGAUGGGCGUCGACCGGCGCACGGGUGAGUAACGCGUAUCCAACCUGCCCACCACUUGGGGAUAACCUUGCGAAAGUAAGACUAAUACCCAAUGAUAUCCCACGAAGGCAUCCGAAUGGGAUUAAAGAUUUAUCGGUGAUGGAUGGGGAUGCGUCUGAUUAGCUUGUUGGCGGGGUAACGGCCCACCAAGGCAACGAUCAGUAGGGGUUCUGAGAGGAAGGUCCCCCACAUUGGAACUGAGACACGGUCCAAACUCCUACGGGAGGCAGCAGUGAGGAAUAUUGGUCAAUGGGCGAGAGCCUGAACCAGCCAAGUAGCGUGCAGGAUGACGGCCCUAUGGGUUGUAAACUGCUUUUAUAAGGGAAUAAAGUGGGUCUCGUGAGACUUUUUGCAUGUACCUUAUGAAUAAGGACCGGCUAAUUCCGUG